rnacentral:rRNA from 1 species
UAAGACGGAGGGGGCGAGCGUUGUUCGGAAUUAUUGGGCGUAAAGCGCGCGUAGGCGGUCGGGUCAGUCGGACGUGAAAGCCCAGGGCUCAGCCCUGGAAGGGCGUUCGAUACUGCCUGACUUGAGUACGGGAGAGGAGAGCGGAAUUCCCAGUGUAGCGGUGAAAUGCGUAGAUAUUGGGAGGAACACCAGUGGCGAAGGCGGCUCUCUGGACCGUUACUGACGCUGAGGUGCGAAAGCUAGGGGAGCAAACGGGAUUAGAUACCCCGGUAGUCCUAGCCGUAAACGAUGGGCACUAGGUGUUGGGGGUAUCGACCCCUCCAGUGCCGGAGCUAACGCAUUAAGUGCCCCGCCUGGGGAGUACGGUCGCAAGGCUG